UGAUCAAAACCAACAAAAAAAAGCAAACAAAAAACAACAACAAACAGAUGGCUAGCACAUGAAUAUAAUGACUGACUUUGUAGAAUUUCAUUUUGAACAAUGAGCUCUCACACUUUUAAGGCAGCAUAACCAUUCUUUUUUUGUUUGUUUGUUUGUUGUUUUUUUUGUUGUUGUUGUUCUUUGUCUUUUUAGGACCACACCCGCAGCAUACGGAAGUUUCCAGGUCAGGGGUCUAAUUGGAGCUCCUGGGAACCUCCAUAUGCCGUGGGAGCAGCCCAAGAAAUGGAGAAAAAAAAAAAAAGAAUAUAGACAACAAAAAUGUGAAGAAUGGAUAUAUUUUCCAGUCCUGCAGGGCAGAUUUUAUUUCCAAACAUCUCAUUCCCUCUCAAAAACUGCAGUGCAGAUUUUGCAAACAGAAUGAGUUAUGUAAGUAGGAUUAUGUACUCUUCAUGCAAACUUUGAAGCCAGCUAUCCAUCCGGUUCUAUUUCCCAGAUAGGAAAAAGGAUUACCACACAGCUCCAAUGCUAGAUAGAUAUUGGUAAAUUCUGCCUCUCUCAUUUCAAGUUAGGAAGAGGAAGAUAUAUAUUUGAAAACUGUUCAACCAGACUCUCUUAAUGAAGGUGAUGGCAUGUGGAUUAAAUGAUUAUGGUUUUACAGUUAUAUAUUGGGAUCCAUACAAUAUAUUUAAGUAUUAUGGUUUAAUUGUGCCUCCAAAAAUUCACAUGUUGAAGUUGUUACCCGCCCACUGCCAUAUUUCAGAAUUUGACCUUAUUUGGAGAUAGGUUCUUUACAGAGGUAAUCUAUUUAAAAUGAUGUCAUUAGCAUAAGCUCUAGUCUAAUAUUUCUGGUAUCCUUCUGAAAAAAGGAGAAAUUUAGAGACAUAGGGAGAAUGCUAUGUGAAGAUAAAGGCAGCGAACAUGGUGAUGUUUCUACAAGCCAAGGAACACCAAGGAUUGCCAGAAAACCACCAGAAGCUAGGCAAGAGGCUUAGAACAAAUUCUACCUCAUAGCUUCAAAAAAUACCAACCCUGCUACCACCUUGACCAUGGUCUCCCAAACUCAGAACUGUGAGACAAUACAUUUCCAUUGUUUAAGUCAGAGUUUAGUGUAUUUCGUUACACUGCUAUAGGAAACUAAUACAUAAAGCAAAAAAAUCACAAGAAUGGAAAUGAAUGAGGGAAUACAUUACCUCUGAGAACUUUAAACUUUAAUUUUUGCAUCCACCGUAAUGAAACCGCUUAAUUCUAUUCUCCUCAGACUAAAUAAAAGUCAGAAAAUCUAAUAUAUGGCACAAAUGAACCUUUCCACAGAAAAGAAACUCAUGGACUUGGAGAAUAGACUUGUGGUUGCCAAGGAGGAGGGGGAGGGAGUGGGAUGGAACGGAAGCUUAGGGUUAAUAGAUGCAGAAUGGAAUGGAUUAGCAAUGAGAUCCUAUUGCCUUUGGAAUGGAUUAGCAAUGAGAUCCUACUAUGUAGCACUGGGAACUAUGUCUAGCCACUUAUGAUGGAGCACAAUAAUGUUAGAAAAAAGAAUGUAUACAUAUAUGUGUAACUGGGUCACCAUGCUGUACAGUAGAAAACCAUCAGAACACUGUAAACCAGCUAUAAUGGAAAAAAAUAAAAACCAUUAUAUUAAAAAAAAAUCAGAAAAUAAGGUAACUACCUUCAAUACACAGGCCAAAAAAAUGUACUAUGUUUUAUUCAAUAAAUUAAAUUAAUUGAAGCAAAAUUAAUUCCAGCACCUAAAUAACCCAGAUAAUGGUCUCAAACUUCAGAUUUGUUUGGUCAUUUGAAGUUAACUUAUUUCAAAUAGAGAAGUUCAGAUUACCUUUGACCAAAAAGAUACCUCAUCAGUCUCUGUUAACCAGCCCAUUUUCCCUUUCUAACCUGAUCUGGUCCUCCUUUUCAGUUCCAUGUGGGUUCAUGUUCCUUCCUGUGCAAAUGGAAGAAGAGAGGCCUGGAGGGAGGGGUGAAGGUAAUGCAAAAGCAGAAAUUCAAACCAUCUGUGUUCAUGUAUCAGAUGGAGGUCAAGACUCAGUAGCUGCCUGGAAGCGUAUCUGAGCUUCUCAACUUUUACAUUUCAGAAGCAUUGCCCUCCCACCAAGCCAAGAAAAAGACUCAGAGCUUAGAGAAGAGAUUAUAAAGCUGAUAUCCCUAGUCCUAUGACUCCAACAAGUUUCUUUAAUAGGCCAGGAUAUUGUUUGGGCAGAACUAGAUGGCUUCCUAUUCACAGGUCAAUCUGAGCAUGAAAUCCACCUGUUUCUCCAAUAGGUAGUGAGAAAACAGAAUGAAGUGAAAAUAGCUAUCCACUGGCCCUAAUGCAGCCUGGAAAGUCUGGGACUUGUCGUUUCCACCUCAGUUGAAAAACACAAAAAGUAAAUUGGGGUUAAGAUCACUACACUGUUCAAGAAACAAGGGUUCUAGGAGCAGCAUGUCCUCUUCUUGUCUUCAUUGCCUUGCAGUUAGAAAACAUGGUUAUUCACUCAGUUUCAGAAACCCACUUACUAUUGCAAAAAGCAUGGUAGAUGUGCCAACCUAUACAUUCAAAAUGGCAAAUGCCAAGCUGUUUCGUGUAGGCAGAUGGUGAGCAUUUGGAAAAGGCUUUGAGAUACAUAUGUUUUGAACAGAAGUAAAACUGCAAAGCCUCAAGAAAUCUCUACAAUUUCAGCCUCUUUCACCCACCCAAACUGGCCAGAUCCCCCCAGAUAACACUCCUUGCGCUUUGGGCUUGCUUAAUGUCUCUCUGCAUACCCUACCCACUUAUGACUGACACUUCAUAAUGCCUUUUGGUUUUGAAACUUGCUUCACUUAAAUUGACCUAUUAAUACCACAAUCCCACCUCUACCUUGACUUCACCCCAUAACCAAAGAUCAUCUCUGUCUCAUUCCUGUAUCCCAGCACCCGCUCACCAGCCUGGAAAGUCUGGAACUUGUCAUUAACAAUAAUAGUAAUAAUAAUAAUAAUAAUAAUAACAACAAUAAUAAUUCAUAGCCUUGGUUUGCUGUUGUUAUUUUAAACCCCCUUUAUAUUAAGAAAGAUAUGCAAUUUUACCACAAAUGCCACUUCCUAUUAAUUGAAAGAGGCUGUUUCAGGUGCAUGUUCAGAAAGAUUCUGAGGUCUGAUCCUAACUUAGUUGAAAGGAUGCCUCAGCAAUUAGCAAUAUCUGCCAUAGUCACUAAGAGAGAAAUGGAAAACUACCUGCUAUAUACAUGCCAACUCUCCUGUGUAUCACUAAAUUCUGUGCUUUCAGUUAUUUCCUCAAAUACACACACACACACACACACACACACAGCAUUUUUUAAAAACUAUUUUAACUACAUAUUCUUACAUCUAGAAGUUCAACCCAUGUGACCAAGGCAAUUUUAACCACGUGGUUAAAAUAGCUCAUGCUGCAAGCCCAGACAAUUUAAAAUGGGGUUUGCAAAUUUAACUUGUAAAAAGACAAUAGAAACAUGACAAACUAUAAAACGUAAGUACAUACACUUAUAUGUAUUAACCAUAUUGCCUCAAAAGAUCCUAAAUAAAGAUACCACAAAAUGAGUUUACCACUCAUUUGAGUUUACUACUCAAAAUGAGAUACCACAAAAUGAGUUGAUGAACUAGCAGAGGACAGAAAUAAGGUCUAAAGCAGGAGGUAGGAUCUGAAUGGUCAAGCCUAGAGGAAUGGAGGGUCUCUGGACACCAGGCUUAAGAACAUCAGAGGAGAUGCUGGGGGGGAAAGGGAAGGAACUUCUAAAAGAGAAAGGCACCAAAACCAUGUUGCCAUAUUUCAGGGCUUUUGAGGGUAGAUGCUAACUAUAGAGAACAUCACGUGAACGAGAUGGUAUUAGACUCCAUCCCAAAACAAAUAACCUUGAAACUGAAAUCCACAAAAAGAAAAAUCACAAGUUAAAGCUUCCGUAGUCUAUCUUUAAACACAACUUUUUUCGGCGGGGGGGGGGGGGGGGAAUCUAUUUAAAACAAGCAUUUAGAAAAGCAUCGUUUUCCUGGCAUGAUUAUUAUGCGCCUCAUGUUGGCAGGAAGACUUCAUUUCCAGUGAUAUUUUCCAAUUGUUAAAAUGAAAAAAAAAAAAAAAACCCUCCCUGCCGCUUUCUUUGCAAUCCAUAAUUUUGUAUUUUUAAUUUUGAUAACUCAAGUGUCUCUAAGCAGAAAUAAGCUGCAUAUUCAUGAGCCCUGAUUUGCUGUAAUCAUUAUUUCUGCGGCUCUCUGUCUAUGAAGACUCCAAGUACUUGAAUCCUUGUUCUCAGGCAAUUAUAUCAGAUUGGCUUGGAGCUGAGGGUGCUGGGAGACCCCACUUUUUCCUUUUUCUCUUUGAACGGCUCUGUUGCUCUAUCUGAGGUCAUCUUUCCUUGCUCCCAAACGGGGCUGAUAAUUAGUUGCCUCAACAUUAGCAGGAAGGAUAAAAGUCUAUUUAAUAUGUUAACUAGAGAAUUGUUAACUUUUCAUCAAUCAGCCUUUAGUCACAGACAGCAAAGGGAAAAACCAAAGAGAGGAAAAAAGAUAUAUGAAAAUGAGGUUGAGCAAAACCUAAAGGAAGGCAUAUAUACAUCAACAAUAUUUUGUUUAUGUGAAAGAUAUGGAUGCAGAAAUAAAUUUAAAAAAAAACAAUAAAAUAAGAUGGCCAAAGGGUGAAAAAAAAAACAAAAACAAAAAAGCUAGAAACUAAAAAAAAAAAAAAAUCCACAAAUCUAUCUAAAAUUUGUCUUCUCUUAGUGGAAAUAGCCCAGGUUGGGGCUUCAAAUAAAUGGAAGCUUGAAUGUCAGAUCAGCUGCAUCCCAGCUAUCUGUCC
rnacentral:lncRNA from 1 species